rnacentral:lncRNA from 1 species
AUGAUCUCCAUCCAUCUGGCAACCCGCUGGUUAAUUAUGUUCUUUAUACAUAUUUACUCUGUGCCCAUCUUGUCUUUUAUCGGGGGGGGGGGGGUUCGGCCCGUCGUUAUGCCGUACUUUAUCUCCACGGCGACGGCUAAAAAUAGCCCCAGGCGUGUCGGACAGCUCCCUCACACAACCCUCCUCUGUGACUCCCAGGCUGCGGGGGAAAUCCGAGCCGCCACCAGGGUCCUGGCUCCGGCCUCGGCCCGGUCCAGCAGAGACCUGGGUCCAGGCCCGGCCCGGUCCAGCAGAGACCUGGGUCCGGACCCGACCCGGUCCAGAACCUCCCGGACCGGAGGAGCAGGGAGGUAUGUGAUUGGUCGAGAGUGGCUGGAGGCGGACCCCGCCCACCGCUCCGUGGUGGACCUGACCAACAUCGUAGCGCGGGAGGGAGGCGAGGGGGGCCCCCUGGAGGGGAGGGGGCCCCUGAGGCCGACCGACCCCUCGAAGGGAGCCCGCCUCUCUGAAGACUUCGUUGACGACCCCGAUGUCCCUCCGUUGAUGUGACGCUCCAGUCUGCUCCCCGUUGGUAUGACAACGGACCGGUCUUUACCAGUCUGGCCCCCCCCGUUGACGUGACAACGGACCAAUAUCUGGACCAGUAUCCGGACCAGUGCCGGUACGGACCAGUCUGAUCCGGUUGGCACGGAGACCAUGUCUGACAUCUCGACACAAAGGACUUCCUGUUGACUUUUCGAGCGGCGGGAGUCUGAGAGAGUUCUUCAAUGUAAACAGAGGAGAGUUGGUUCUGUUUGUCAAUGCGCACACAAAACAUAUCCUCUGUCCUCGAGUGCUUCUGUGUUCGGACGGCGUCACGGCACGGGGCGACGUGUUAUCACGUUUUCUUGGUGUGGUACUUCAACAAAGCGUGCCCUUGUGUUGUACUGUGAGACCCGUGGUGGUCAGGGAAGGGGCCAGCCCUCUCACCCCCCUGUCCUCCUCUUCAGUGGGCCGACCCCUGGCUGCCCCCCCUUGCCUCACCUGCUUCUGUAUUCACAGCCGGUUUCCCUUUGAAUAAAGAACCUGGCGGUUUGGGACCGACCACAGCAGCUGAGCCGUGCCCGCCCCGUUUGGCUUCAGACUGCCUUCUGCUGAGCUGCACACUCGUUAGUUCUACUGGGUACUAGUUAGUUCUACUGAGCUCUACUGAACUGCACACUAGUUAGUUCUACUGGGUACUAGUUAGUUCUACUGAGCUGCACACUAGUUAGUUAUACUGGGUACUAGUUAGUUAUACUGGAUACUAGUUAGUUAUACUGAGCUCUACUGAACUGCACACUAGUUAGUUCUACUGGGUACUAGUUAGUUCUACUGAGCUGCACACUAUUUAGUUCUACUGGGUACUAGUUAGUUCUUCUGAGCUGCACUCAAUUUAGUUUUACUGGGUACUAGUUAGUUAUACAGGGUACUAUUUGGUUCUACUGGUAAUUACUGCGUCCAAGUUGGUUUUACUUGAUAAAAGUUUGUUCUUCUGGGUUAAAGUGCGUUCUACUAGGUACUAGUUGGUUCUACUGGGUUCUAGUUAGUUCUACUGGGUUCUAGUUAGUUCUAGUGCGUUCUAGUUGGUUCUAAUAGGUUCAUGUUGGCCCUACAAGGUUUGACUUAGUUCUACUGCAAUCUACUGGGUUAUAAUGUAUUCUAGUUAGUUCUACUGCAUUCUAGUUAGUUCUACUUGGUUCUAAUGUUUUAAAGUGGGUUCUAUGGGGUUCUACCUGGUUCUGCUAGAUUAAAGGUGGUUCUACUGGGUUCUAAAGGGUUCUGAAGAAAGAAACCAAGUGAAGAAACUGAGUCUGUCAGACUCUGGGUUGUUUGGUUUGAGUCCAUUUUGAAGUUCACACGGGACUCCUGUAAAGUCUCUCUGGCCUUUAUCGCUCUUUGAGCUGUCACUCAGGAAGUACAGGGGUCACGACUCCUCUCUCCUCCUUUCUCAUCCCUUCUUCUCUCCUCUCUCUUGUCCUCUCCCCUUCUACUCUCCUGUCUUUACUCCUCUCCUCCCCUCACUCUCUUCCUUCUGCCUGCCCUCUCUGCCCUCUCUCCUGUCCCCUCUCUCUCCUCUCUCCCCUCUCCCCUGUCCUCUCUCUCUCCUCCCCUCACUCUCUUCCUACUGCCUGCCCUCUCUCUCCUCUCUCCCCUCUCCCCCCUCUCUUCCCUCCCCCCCCUCUCUUCCCUCUCCCCCCUCUCCCCCCUCUCUCUCCUCUCUCUCCUCUCUCCCCUCUCUCUCCUCUCUCCCCUAUCUCCUGUCCCCUCUCUCUCCUCCCCUCCCGCUGUGUCAGUGCACUGACCCAGCAGUGUCUUCAGAAAACACUUUAGAACCAGAACAUUUAUAUUUUUGACAGCUGCCUCUCUCUCUCUCUCUCUCUCUCUCUCUCUCUCUCUCUCUCUCUCUCUCUCUCUCUCUCUCUCUCUCUCUCUCUCUCUCUCUCUCUCUCUCUCUCUCUCUCUCUCUCUCUCUCUCUCUCUCUCUCUCUCUCUCUCUCUCACUCUCUCUCUCUCUCUCUCUCUCUCUCUCUCUCUCUCUCUCUCUCUCUCUCUCUCUCUCUCUCUCUCUCUCUCUCUCUCUCUCUCUCUCUCUCUCUCUAUACAUUAGGUCUCAGAGUCCUCGAUGCGUUCAGGGUAUGUUCAGGGGGGUGGGGUGCGUCUGGGUCGUUGGCGGGUCGAUGAACCCCGGCUGCAUCAGGAGCGAGAGGGGGCCCCCCCUGCUCUGGGACCCGUUUCAUCUUCCAGAGUUUCUCAGCCGGUCCGUGGGUUCAAACCGACAACCUCUGAUACAGUUGCAACUCGACACCUCCACGUCAUGGCUGUGGAUCACCGUUAAGUGCACAAGACAGACCAGCUUGUUGUGCCUGACAGACAGACAGACAAAGACACACACACACACACACACACACACACAAUGCUGCAGCGUCAGGCCGGGGUCCAGUGGUUGAUCCAGACGGUUUCUCAUUGUUUCACACAGAAGAGAUUAUGAGAGAGUGUUACCGCAGCGACGGGCAUCCCAGCGGCCCCCUCCCUGUCGUGGUGAUUUAU